UGGGCAACCUGCCUUCAGCUCUGGGAUAACUCCGGGAAACCGGGGCUAAUACCGGAUAUGACCACUCCUGGCAUCUGGGGUGGUGGAAAGUUCUUCGGCUGAGGAUGGGCCCGCGGCCUAUCAGCUUGUUGGUGGGGUUACGGCCCACCAAGGCGACGACGGGUAGCCGGCCUGAGAGGGCGACCGGCCACACUGGGACUGAGACACGGCCCAGACUCCUACGGGAGGCA
rnacentral:rRNA from 1 species